UGCGUAGGCGGACUAAUAAGUCAGUGGUGAAAUCUCUCGGCUCAACCGGGAAGCUGCCAUUGAUACUGUUAGUCUUGAGUUCGGUUGAGGUAGGCGGAAUGUGUAAUGUAGCGGUGAAAUGCUUAGAUAUUACACAGAACACCAAUUGCGUAGGCAGCUUACUAGACCGACACUGACGCUGAGGCACGAAAGCGUGGGUAGCGAACAGGAUUAGAUACCCUGGUAGUCC
rnacentral:rRNA from 1 species